CAACCGGGGUGUGGGUGGCUGUAAUGGCAGCCUGUAGGUUUGUAUGGAAAACAAGUAUGGCACUGUGAAAAAAAUCCUUCUCUCACCCUACAGAUACCUGUACGGAGAGCUUGGGAGGCAUUUCCAUAGGCUUACUGUCAAGUGAAUGUUAAAGCCCCCAUUCCCUGGGAAGCAAAGCGCAUGGAGCAGAAAUACAUCCAUGAACAACUGCCUUCGCAAGUUGAUUACCGGGCAAUAUAAUUUCUCAGUUUUUAUGGGUAAAUGAGUGCUUCUCGUCAUGGACUAGCUUGCGCUUCAAUUUAGGCAAAAGUAUUUCCACGGUCCAAGCCGGAUCCCUCCAUUUGUUGUCAUGUCUCCUUGGACUCCUCUUGACUGUGGCUGUUUCUCAGACUUCCCUUAUUUUCGAUGACCUUGACAGUUUUGAAGAGUGCUGGCCAGAGUAUAAAUGUAACUUGGAAGCAGAACAUCUAAGUUACUCAGGAGCCUUAACGUGUAUUUGAAGUCAAGGCUCUGAGAAAUGGAUUUAAUGUUCUCUCAACGCUGGAAUCUAGGAUCCCUUGAGUGUCAAGGCCGAAUGAGUGCUCCUGGACAAAUCACUUAAUCUUGCUUCUUCUAUCUCCUUAUCUUUAAACUUUCCAUGAUCUUGUUUUGGAUUCAUGGAAAUUCUGAACAGUGAUGUGAGAAUGACUGCAAUUUGCAGUAUCUGUUAAAUACAGCAACAUGACAUCACAAGGAUUGUUUUGGACUCUUCUGGAUAUGAGAGAUAUUAAAAAGGUGAAACAGUAGGACUGGAAUAUUAGGGGCGAAAUAGAGAAAACUGUGGUUUCCAGCCUCUCUUUGGCAGAAUGAUUUGUUUGUUUGUUUCACAGAAUUGGGAUUAUUUGAAGAGAUUAACACAAGGAAUAAUGGACUGAGAAAUGGAUAGGAAAUGCAGUGGUGCUGAGGAGUAUUUGAAUACCUUAGGCCUUUAAGGAAAUUCUACUGAAAGUGACAUAACUAAGGUGCUGUAAACAUACAUAGAUAAACAAGGUCCUGUGUUUGCAGUGCUCCAGUGACCAAGGGAAGACCGUCUUUCAUCUCCCAAAGUAAUCACACUGAGGAUUUAGCAGCCACACUAUGCUCAGAUUGGAGAAGAGGCCGUGUGCAUUCUGUUUCCCACAAAACUACAGGAGCUUGCCUUUCGACUUUGAUUCUCAAGAAAACUCGUUCAGAGAGUAGUUUUGUUCCAGCAACAAGUUACUGAGGUAGAACAAUCUUGUUUUGAUUCUGAGGACUUGACUGAAACCCUCAUUUCUACUUUUGAAAUAAUAGUAGCAGAAAGAACCCAAGAGGCGCUGUCAUCUUCUGUACAUCUUGCUUUGCUGGGGGUAAAUCGCCGACUCACACCUCCUUGAUUUCGCUAAAGAUAGGAUCUCUGCAAUCAGGGAGAAAGAACUGACCUUGGCUUCGAGAUCAGAACUGGGAUUUAAAACAUUCACUCGUUCACGUUUUAGAGAUGUUGCGGUAAAUAAAUUAUGACUGUUUAUACUGAAGACUAAGAGGCUCCUUUUUCUACACUAUAGGCAGCGAUUUGGCUGAGACUGUAUCAUUCUGUGAUGCUACCUUUUUUCUCACUUGAAUUGUACUUUUGGCUGUCAUUUGCGCUUUUGAAUAAAGGUUUACAUUAGUGGAAGAUAUCAUAAUAGCGUAUCUCCUUUUCCGGAGUUGAUAUACAAAUCAAAAAGAAAGGAUAAGGCCAAGACUCCCUUUGUCCUUGGAAAAGUAUG
rnacentral:lncRNA from 1 species